rnacentral:rRNA from 1 species
CAGUAGCCGCGGUAAUACGGAGGGAGCUAGCGUUGUUCGGAAUUACUGGGCGUAAAGCGCACGUAGGCGGUUAUUCAAGUCAGAGGUGAAAGCCCGGGGCUCAACCCCGGAACUGCCUUUGAAACUAGAUGACUGGAAUCUUGGAGAGGUCAGUGGAAUUCCGAGUGUAGAGGUGAAAUUCGUAGAUAUUCGGAAGAACACCAGUGGCGAAGGCGACUGACUGGACAAGUAUUUACGCUGAGGUGUGAAAGCGUGGGGAGCAAACAGGAUUAGAUACCCGGGUAGUCCCUGUCUCUUAUAC